GGAUUAAGGCUGCCAUGACAGCUCCGGGGGAAGAAGUCCUCUCCAGUAUGCUGGCUAACAACCCAUCCGACAGAGCGGGUGCAACGGCAGCAACACCAAUGGAAGAUUGAGAUACCGACGUUAGGUCGGACACCCAUCAUCAGGGGACGAGGACUUCAUCCUCCCCCCCCUUCUCUGGAGAUCAUGAAAGAAUGGAGGGCAGAAGAGGUAAAAGUGACAAGACACGCCUAGCAAGAAAGGUUUUUUCUUUGGCACACUGGACACUCCUGUUUUGACUCAUGCACCAUCCGACAACCAGGGUCAUCCGAAUGGGGUUAACUGGAGCAUCGGGCCCACUUCUGGCUUAGGAGGCCUAUGGGAAAAGAAAUCCGAGACCGGCUCAGGAUGGAAUGCCCACGCCCUCUAUGUCCGAACAAGAUAGUCCUCACUAUGGAGCUCGUGGUGAUAUGUAUGUCCCGAUCAGUGUGUAGGAGGAGGACUCAAAAUGAGUUAAAUACUGGAUAUGAUCAGCCCGGGAAAAAAUUCUAUACUUUGCGGACCUGACCCCACACAAGACUCACCUCUAGAAGCUCACGAUGUGAGGGAAUGGGUGCAAAGGGCAAUAUGUAAGUUGGGGAAUGCAAGGCAGACAGGUGCACAGAAUGCCGCAAAGCAGCCCGAUUAAAGAUGGAUUUCAAACUAUUGAAGUUAGGGACGAAAGAGCGAGGACCUCAGGCAGACAGACUAUCGUUUGGAGAACCAUUUAUCUCAGCAACGGUUUGGUAGUAAGGAAGAAGAUAGGAGACUAUCACCCAGUCAUCAACCUAUGCCAACCCAAUGGUUUUGGGACGUACCGACAACUCAAGAAGGAAGGUAUCCAUCUCUUAGGGGAUCUACAAGGUUGGACUUGAAGGGCACUUACCUAUAGGUUCACAUGGUGCCUCAUGAAGUUUCUGAAGUCGGUCACUGCGCACUGAAAAGCAAAGGGUAUCUGCUGUCACAUACCUAGACGACUUACCUUUUGCAAAUCCAAUUCAUGACUACGUUUACAAAUGAGAUUUAUGUUUACAGUUUCGGGAAUUGUUGGGAUUCAUAGUGAACAGAGAGGAGUUGGUUCGAUCCCAGUUCCGAGUGAUUCAGUUCCGCUAUUUCAGAAUAGAUUCCACCUUGGGCGGAUUACACCUUCCCACAUCAUUGAUAGCGACGAUUCGUAAGGAAAUUCGACGGGUACGGCGGAAAGGCACCAUAACCCUUUGACUAUUUCCCAG